GAAGUGGCACAACGGGUUAGCAUGUCUGGCUGUUAAUCAGAAGGUUGGUGGUUUGAGCCCACCCAGGGAUG